rnacentral:rRNA from 1 species
UGGGGGAUAUUGCACAAUGGAGGAAACUCUGAUGCAGCAACGCCGCGUGAGGGAAGAAGGUUUUCGGAUUGUAAACCUCUGUUUUAGUGACGAAACAAAUGACGGUAGCUAAAGAGGAAGCCACGGCUAACUACGUGCCAGCAGCCGCGGUAAUACGUAGGUGGCAAGCGUUGUCCGGAAUUACUGGGUGUAAAGGGUGCGCAGGCGGGACUGUAAGUUGGAUGUGAAAUGCCGAGGCUUAACCACGGCACUGCAUCCAAAACUGCGGUUCUUGAGUGAAGUAGAGGUAGGCGGAAUUCCGAGUGUAGCGGUGAAAUGCGUAGAUAUUCGGAGGAACACCAGUGGCGAAGGCGGCCUACUGGGCUUUAACUGACGCUGAGGCACGAAAGCAUGGGGAGCAAACAGGAUUAGAUACCCUGGUAGU